rnacentral:rRNA from 1 species
CGUGCUUAACACAUGCAAGUCGAACGGGGAUUACACGGCGAUGCGAUUUCGGUCAAAUCAAGUGCAAUCUUAGUGGCGGACGGGUGAGUAACGCGUGGGUAACCUGCCUUGCACUGGGGGAUAACACUUAGAAAUAGGUGCUAAUACCGCAUAAGCGCACGGUCCUGCAUGGGACAGUGUGAAAAACUCCGGUGGUGCAAGAUGGACCCGCGUCUGAUUAGCUGGUUGGCGGGGUAAAGGCCCACCAAGGCGACGAUCAGUAGCCGGCCUGAGAGGGUGGACGGCCACAUUGGGACUGAGACACGGCCCAAACUCCUACGGGAGGCAGCAGUGGGGGAUAUUGGACAAUGGGGGGAACCCUGAUCCAGCGACGCCGCGUGAGUGAAGAAGUAUUUCGGUAUGUAAAGCUCUGUCAGCAGGGAAGAAAGCAAUGACGGUACCUGACCAAGAAGCCCCGGCUAACUACGUGCCAGCAGCCGCGGUAAUACGUAGGGGGCAAGCGUUAUCCGGAAUUACUGGGUGUAAAGGGAGCGUAGACGGCUGUGCAAGUCUGGAGUGAAAGGCGGGGGCCCAACCCCCGGACUGCUCUGGAAACUGUAUGGCUGGAGUGCAGGAGAGGUAAGCGGAAUUCCUAGUGUAGCGGUGAAAUGCGUAGAUAUUAGGAGGAACACCAGUGGCGAAGGCGGCUUACUGGACUGUAACUGACGUUGAGGCUCGAAAGCGUGGGGAGCAAACAGGAUUAGAUACCCUGGUAGUCCACGCCGUAAACGAUGAUU